AGAUAAUUAGGCAGUUGAAAAAUUAAUAUAAAGCAGGAAACAAUAAAAUAAUUUCUUGAAGGUAGACAUUCUGAAGCUGACUCGGAGGAUUCUGGUUUGCUUAAGGGAGUUCCGAUAGGUCAGCAUACUAAAAAGCAGCAAAAACUAGUCUAUAAAAAGAGAAAACGCAUUGCAUCUUCUACCAUUUUAGAUGUUCUAUUAAAGAAGCAUCCUUAACUUCAUCUACUAGUCUUUCUAAGACAGACUGAAACCUAGAUCAGAGCAGAGAGUUGUCUAGACUUCAUAUUACAAAUGACCGGUGAAUACAUGACAAGCUUCCCAUAAUUACUCAUCGAGUUGAACCCUUCAACAUCAAAACAGUAUAAUAACUCUUUGGGCUGUGUUGAUUUACUGCAGGAUCUUGUCAUUAGUCUAAAUUCGGAUCUUAUUUGCCGGUGAAUGCAUGACAAGCAACAUAACUGGUAAAUAAGAUAGGGACUUUGAAAAAAAACAUGGACUUCUGCGGACAGGCAAGUUAAAAAAUAAUGAAUUGCUUCUGAUUUAAUUGUUAAUCAACUUUUCAAUUUCAAUUAAACCAAAAUUUUAGUUCUAUCAAUAACUUACUUUCACAAGUAUGUCUAUGAUCUACAUCUGUUGGGUUUGCAUUGCGAAGUGUUAUAGUCAAUAGUUAACCUGAGGCCAAUAAUUCAUCUCAAGAAAUCGUCCACAACUCUACAUAUUUCUAAAAUAUCUUUAGAAACUAAGCUUCUACUUCUCUGGAAGAAAAAUAUGACAACAGAACCAAUCUCUCUCAAAAGUUGAAUGCUUCUGGUAAAGACUCAUCAAAAUGAGAUCAUGGUAUGUUUGGUAGGCAGUAUUAGAUAACACUCAACGCUAAUAAGAAAGAUAAGCAAAAAUCUUUUUCGCUAUACUGUCCACUUCACUCUAGUGUUACGUAGCAAACACACACUUCUUUUACUCAGAAAGUGUAAUGCUGAACAUGGCUUAUUACUGGAAUUUCGUAGUCUUAUUAUGACGAGAAGAUGGUCUAAAAUACAAACUUUAACAGAACAGAAAGAUAUACUAUCCAACAAAAGGAACUCCAAACAAACAAAUGUUUGCACUAUAAACAAAUAAACUUCUGGAUUCUAAACUAACAAAAAAGAUGAUCCUUGGUUCCUAUAAAAGAGGAAGAGCAUUUGUGAAAUCUAUAUGAAAAGUAACUGAUAUAUGGAGGAGGAAUAUCCCCCAAAUAUAUAUAUAUAUAAAUUAUGGAACAAUUCAAAGCCUCUGUCAAUGUGUCUUUCAACUGAAUCUUUUAAAAUGGUUGACUUCACUAAAGGAAAUAAGAAUUCAUUGCAUUAGCCAUGUGCAUUACCAAGCCCACAUUAAUCAACUCUAUACAAUGGUUUGAUACUUGCACUAAUAUGGUUCAUUGUCAAUGCAUAACAGAGUACAUCUUAGCAAUUGAACAAGCGUAAAUAAUUACAAGCAUAGUUGGCAACACAAUGCCCUAGGACUUCACAUUUCUUCCUUCUUAUCGUAAAAUACUUUGUGGCUAGUCUUUCCUCACAUGUAACUCAGUAUAAAUCUUAUAACAGAUUAUUUCUCUCUGACUUUUUUCCUGAAGCAGUUUGCAACACCAUUACAAGGACUAUCCUAGGCUAAGAUAGUCACGAUGUUAAGAUCUUCUUUGGGAAAGCUUUUUAAAGCUGCUAAAAAGUUGAUGUCAUAUUCAAUAACUAAUUUUAACCAUACAUUACAUUGGACUCACACUUACUAUCCACUGCUUCACCACUCAUUUUGUGGGGGAUCCACCCCUCCUUUUUAUCAAGAUCAGCUUUUCACCUCUCCCAAACAAACACUAAG
rnacentral:lncRNA from 1 species